UGCUUCAGGUUUGCACUUCACAUUGAGGGCCCUAGGCUCCUAUAGCUUGAAUUAGGGUGGUGCCAGUGAUUCACAAGAUCUUCCAUAUUAUCAUUAGCAAGGUGAAGUCAUUCAAGUAUUGGCCACUACUAUCUGCAUUAGCUUCGCCUCAGAAAAUAACCUUUUCACUUGGAAGGAGGAAGUAGGAGUUCUCAGUAAUGGUUAACUACAAGCUACAGUACAUGUUCUUUGAUUAACAAAGACAAAUGUCC